GCGGAUGUGGUGGAAUUGGUAGACACGCCAGGUUUAGGUCCUGGUGCCUUCGGGCUUGGGAGUUCGAGUCUCCCCAUCCGCACCA
rnacentral:tRNA from 3 species